rnacentral:rRNA from 1 species
CUACGGGUGGCUGCAGUAGGGAAUCUUGCACAAUGGGGGGAACCCUGAUGCAGCAACGCCGCGUGGAGGAUGACGCAUUUCGGUGUGUAAACUCCUUUUAUAUGUCAAGAAAAUGACGGUAGCAUAUGAAUAAGCACCGGCUAACUCCGUGCCAGCAGCCGCGGUAAUACGGAGGGUGCAAGCGUUACUCGGAAUCACUGGGCGUAAAGGACGCGUAGGCGGGUUGGAAAGUCAGGUGUGAAAUCCUACAGCUUAACUGUAGAACUGCACUUGAAACUUCUAAUCUAGAGUAUGGGAGGGGGAGAUGGAAUUAGUGGUGUAGGGGUAAAAUCCGUAGAUAUCACUAGGAAUACCUAAAGCGAAGGCGAUCUCCUGGAACAUUACUGACGCUAAGGCGUGAAAGCGUGGGGAGCAAACAGGAUUAGAUACCCCCGUAGUC